rnacentral:misc_RNA from 1 species
GAUGAAGAACGCAGCGAAAUGCGAUAAGUAAUGUGAAUUGCAGAAUUCAGUGAAUCAUCGAAUCUUUGAACGCACAUUGCGCCCGUCAGUAUUCUGGCGGGCAUGCCUGUUCGAGCGUCAUUACGCCCCUCAAGUCCCCUGUGGACUUGGUGUUGGGGAUCGGCGAGGCUGGUUUUCCAGCACAGCCGUCCCUUAAAUUAAUUGGCGGUCUCGCCGUGGCCCUCCUCUGCUCAGUAGUAAAACACUCGCAACAGGAGCCCGGCGCGGUCCACUGCCGUAAAACCCCCCAACUUUUUAUAGUUGACCUCGAAUCAGGUAGGACUACCCGCUGAACUUAAGCAUAUCAAUAAGCGGAGGA